AUUGAACGCUGGCGGCAGGCUUAACACAUGCAAGUCGAACGAAGUGGCGAACGGGUGAGUAACGCGUAAUCAACCUGCCCUUCAGAGGGGGACAACAGUUGGAAACGACUGCUAAUACCGCAUACUGAAGGAGGGGAUUGCGUCUGAUUAGCUAGUUGGAGGGGUAACGGCCCACCAAGGCGACGAUCCCUAGCUGGUCUGAGAGGAUGACCAGCCACACUGGAACUGAGACACGGUCCAGACUCCUACGGGAGGCAGCAGUGGGGAAUAUUGCACAAUGGCCGAGAGUCUGAUCCAGCAAUUCGGUGUGCACGAUGAAGUUUUUCGGAAUGUAAAGUGCUUUCAGUUGGGAAGCGGUACCAACAGAAGAAGUGACGGCUAAAUACGUGCCAGCAGCCGCGGUAAUUC
rnacentral:rRNA from 1 species